CACCAUGAUGUUUCUGUGCUCUCUGACUGUCUUUAUGAUCAUGAUAGAGAACUGUGUUGCACAGUCAAUAACACCACUGAAGAACAAAACUCAUGCUCUUGAAGAUGAGACAGUUACUCUCUCCUGCGAGUAUCAGUUUGAUCGUGUUGCAAACAGUCUGCACUGGUAUCGUCAGUAUCCUGGAUCCAGACCAGAGUAUUUACUGAUGAUCAGUCCUACGACAAAAGCUGUGAGCCAUGCAACUCCACCUUUCCCACGACUGAAUGCUACAGAACAUAACAAAACAGUGAAUCUGACGAUCUCCUCUGCUGCAGUAUCAGACUCUGCACUCUACUACUGUGCCCUGCAGCCCACAGUGACAGGAAACCCAGCUACACUGUACAAAAACUCACUGUCACUUUUUCACUACCAAACCAAUCAUAACAUGGCCAAACUUCUUUACUGA